AUUAUUGGGUGAUGAUGUAUACGAUCGUACGCCGAGCGUUUGUGAAAUCGCUAAUUCGUGUAGAUGUGCGCACGUUUUACAUUCGUAAUUGAAACGUGUUUUUUGUUUGUUUAUUUUAAUUUUUUUUUUUUUCCGUGAUAUCAUUAACACUGACAAUAAAAAAUAGACUUGCGGUUAAAUUCCCCGUGUACAUUAUAAUAAUAUAAUACAUAAUGUAUUUGAGAAAAAAAAAAAACCCACCUAAGAAACAUUGCGAGUGAGUGUAUGAGCGUGUUCGUGUAAUUUUUCAUUUAAGAAUAUUGUAACAAGAGCGUCGACAAAGUGGUCUCGCUUAAACGGAAAACAACGAUAGUGUAAAAUCGAUGACAAUGGCGAUUUUCGAUAAACAA